CGUGAAAUUGUUGAAAGGGAAGCGCUCGCUACCAGACUUGGGUUCGGCGGUUCAACCGGGGCCACGCCCCGGGGCACUCCGCCGUCCCAGGCCAGCAUCAGCUUUCCGUCGGGGGCAAAGACGUCGGGAAUGUGGCUCCCCUCCGGGGGAGUGUUAUAGCCCGGCGUGUCAUACCCUUCGGGGGGCUGAGGUACGCGCUUCUGCAAGGAUGCUGGC
rnacentral:rRNA from 1 species